GACGAACGCUGGCGGCGUGCUUAACACAUGCAAGUCGAACGGAAAGGCCUUUUCGGAGGUACUCGAGUGGCGAACGGGUGAGUAACACGUGGGUGAUCUGCCCUGCACUCUGGGAUAAGCCUGGGAAACUGGGUCUAAUACCGGAUAGGACCGCACUUUAGUGUGUGUGGUGGCAAGUUUUUUCGGUGUAGGAUGAGCCCGCGGCCUAUCAGCUUGUUGGUGGGGUAAUGGCCUACCAAGGCGGCGACGGGUAGCCGGACUGAGAGGUUGGUCGGCCACAUUGGGACUGAGAUACGGCCCAGACUCCUACGGGAGGCAGCAGUGGGGAAUAUUGCCCAAUGGGCGCAAGCCGGAUGCAGCGACGCCGCGUGGGGGAUGACGGCCUUCGGGUUGUAAACUCCUUUCGCCAGGGACGAAGCGUUUUGUGACGGUACCUGGAGAAGAAGCACCGGCUAACUACGUG
rnacentral:rRNA from 1 species